CAAAGGUGAGCCAGUACAGGAUGGACCCGCGUCUGAUUAGCUAGUUGGUAAGGUAACGGCUUACCAAGGCGACGAUCAGUAGCCGACCUGAGAGGGUGAUCGGCCACAUUGGAACUGAGACACGGUCCAAACUCCUACGGGAGGCAGCAGUGGGGAAUAUUGCACAAUGGGCGAAAGCCUGAUGCAGCAACGCCGCGUGAGUGAUGAAGGCCUUCGGGUCGUAAAACUCUGUCCUCAAGGAAGAUAAUGACGGUACUUGAGGAGGAAGCCCCGGCUAACUACGUGCCAGCAGCCGCGGUAAUACGUAGGGGGCUAGCGUUAUCCGGAUUUACUGGGCGUAAAGGGUGCGUAGGCGGUCUUUCAAGUCAGGAGUGAAAGGCUACGGCUCAACCGUAGUAAGCUCUUGAAACUGGGAGACUCGAGUGCAGGAGAGGAGAGUGGAAUUCCUAGUGUAGCGGUGAAAUGCGUAGAUAUUAGGAGGAACACCAGUUGCGAAGGCGGCUCUCUGGACUGUAACUGACGCUGAGGCACGAAAGCGUGGGGAGCAAACAGGAUUAGAUACCCUGGUAGUCCACGCUGUAAACGAUGAGUACUAGGUGUCGGGGGUUACCCCCUUCG
rnacentral:rRNA from 1 species